rnacentral:rRNA from 1 species
UACGUAGGGGGCGAGCGUUGUCCGGAUUUAUUGGGUGUAAAGGGCAUGUAGGUGGUCUUGUAAGUCAAAGGUGAAAUGGCCCGGCUUAACCAGGUCAUUGCCUUUGAAACUGCCGGACUUGAGUACGGAAGAGGAAAGCGGAAUUCCCAGUGUAGCGGUGAAAUGCGUAGAUAUUGGGAGGAACACCGGUGGCGAAGGCGGCUUUCUGGUCCGAAACUGACACUGAGAUGCGAAAGCCAGGGGAGCAAACGGG